rnacentral:rRNA from 1 species
UACAGAGGUCUCAAGCGUUGUUCGGAUUCAUUGGGCGUAAAGGGUGCGUAGGUGGCGGGGCAAGUUUGGUGUGAAAUCCCGGGGCUCAACCCCGGAACUGCACUGAAUACUGCUUGCUUGAGCACUGGAGAGGGAACUGGAAUUUACGGUGUAGCAGUGAAAUGCGUAGAUAUCGUAAGGAAGACCAGUGGCGAAGGCGAGUUCCUGGACAGUUGCUGACACUGAGGCACGAAGGCUAGGGGAGCAAACGGG